CCUACGGGGAGCAGCAGUGAGGAAUAUUGGUCAAUGGACGGAAGUCUGAACCAGCCAUGCCGCGUGCAGGAAGACGGCUCUAUGAGUUGUAAACUGCUUUUGUACAAGGGUAAACCUGAAUACGUGUAUUCAGCUGAAAGUACUGUAAGAAUAAGGAUCGGCUAACUCCGUGCCAGCAGCCGCGGUAAUACGGAGGAUCCAAGCGUUAUCCGGAUUUAUUGGGUUUAAAGGGUGCGUAGGCGGAUUGAUAAGUUAGAGGGGAAAUGUCCGAGCUUAACUCGGGAACUGCCUCUAAUACUGGUGAUCUAGAGAGUAGAUGCGGUAGGCGGAAUGUAUGGUGUAGCGGUGAAAUGCUUAGAGAUCAUACAGAACACCGAUUGCGAAGGCAGCUUACCAAUCUAUAUCUGACGUUGAGGCACGAAAGCGUGGGGAGCAAACAGGAUUAGAUACCCUGGUAGUC
rnacentral:rRNA from 1 species